ensembl:lncRNA
UUCUGGAGCAGCUGUCUGCUGGGGGAGAAGUGCAGAGAGUCACCCUGUGGUGGUGACUGCUUAAUUUACAUUGGCACCGGCAGCCCUCACACAGGCCGUUCCCCGUGCCAGCUCCUGGCGCAGCAGCGGGGGAAUUCAGCUGCUAGAGAUAAAGGGAAGAGAUCCCUCUUUUGUUUCACGUGGGCUCUUCCCAUACUGAGGAGAGGGUGCUGCUCAAAGCAGAGCAUCACAGCUGGGAUGUUUUCUGGGAAUAAGGAGUCCCCUGCAGCCAUGCCGUCAUAGUGCCCAGGGUUUGCUUCAACUGUAUAAGCACUUCACAAGGUUCCAGUUUCCAGCCUUUAACUGAGUGCCUAAGGCAUGUGUGUCCAACCUUUUGGCUUCCCUGGACCACUCUGAGUGAAGAGGAAUUGUCUUAGGCUGCAUAUAUGUCGGUCACUCUGAAAGUAAUGCCUCCUAUUUAUUUCCAUGGAAACUACAACAGAUACAAAGAGAGCGGUAACACUGCUUGAUAGAGAAAAUUCUCAGCUACAAAACACUAUUUUUCAACACAGUCAGUCACCACCAUGAGCUAUGCAUUUUCACCAAUGAUGAACAAGAGCCUGCAUGCCACACUCAUAAAGAUCUGCAUGAGCAAUGUGACCCACUUUCACUGUUACUGCUGCUGAAACACCCCAUCCACCGCCUCACUGUGCUCACUGUGCUCAGAUCCACUGGUUGGUCUCUACAGACAUUCAGCAAGUGUCAAUGGAUAUCAGUGGGAGCCAUUUUUUCUGCAUGGAGGAAUUCAGUGGCGCACUUUUCUUCACAUGCACUUCCAUGUCAGAUGGUAUUGUAUCAGAGUGCCCCUCUGCUGCCAUCUGUCACUUGACAACAAAAUGUGAUGGGAUAUUGGUGGGAAGGUUCAACUUGUACUGCCAAACCACUGACAACUGCCUUGAAUAUUGUGGACCAACAUCAUAAAACAGAAGGCAUUACUUUUGGGACAGCCUCAUAAAAUAUACAAUAUAGCUAAUGUGUAUAAGUAACAAAACAUUUUAAUUUUUAAAUUUUUUAAUUAAAACAUAAGAAGGGACAGCAACAAAACCAUAAAACUAGUGGGAUAUGUGAUUCUGUAUUUGUGAAACUAACGCUUUGGUCUGGUUCAGUGGCAGUGGCUGCCAUUCUUAGUACGAUCUCAAGAGGUUAAUCAGAGAUUUUUGUUGCAUUUUAUUUUUCCUGUGCUUUAUCCAUGAAAACAGUUGUUUGCAAGUAUACAUACUCCCAGAAAGUGAUGACAUGAAUAAGGUGUGACUAUGAAGUGAG